rnacentral:lncRNA from 1 species
UGAACUUAAUUAGCAAAAUCUAAACAUUUUAUUGAUAACUAAAAUUAAAUAUAAUAAAUAAAUCUCAUUUUGAGUUAAAUAAUUCAUCCUUGUUUUCUUUUGAGUAGAAUCUGCUAAAUCUCCCAUUUUUCUCCAAUUGUUCUUUGAGCUUGUCUUCCUUGUCCUUUAACUUCCAAAGAUCACAUGUCGCUUCGUAUUUUUCUUGUGCACUUUUUUGUUGCACAUUAAAAUUUCAAAGGUCGUUUUCUUGCUUGCAUAUUUCUACUCUUGCAUCUACCAACUUCUCUACGGUCCUGUCAAGUUUUUUGCUUAGUGAGGAUGACAUUCUCGCGUAUAGUAAAAAAUCAAACUCGCUUCGAUCAACCACUGCUGGAUGGAGAAGUAACAAAGUUAAUGAAAAUCUAAACGAAAAUAUCAAAUCGAACAUAGUAAAAGUAGCUCUUUCGCUACGAUGUUAAAAUAACUCUGUGUUUUGAAACUACAUUUAUGUAACAAAUAUAUUCGAUGUAUGAGAAUCAAUAAGCCAAGAAAGAGAGAAGUAAAAUUGUAAAUUAACGUAGAUGUAAAGGCGAUUAAUUAAUAAAAAAAUUAGAAGAGUAACAUUAUUGUAAGUCAUAAGAGAAAAAACUUUAACGAACUACUCAAAGUGAAGAGAAACUUACGUUAAUAUUU